CAGUAGCCACGGUAAUACGAAGGGUGCAAGCGUUACUCGGAAUUACUGGGCGUAAAGCGUGCGUAGGUGGUGGUUUAAGUCCGUUGUGAAAGCCCUGGGCUCAACCUGGGAAUUGCAGUGGAUACUGGAUCACUAGAGUGUGGUAGAGGAUAGUGGAAUUUCCGGUGUAGCAGUGAAGUGCGUAGAGAUCGGAAGGAACAUCUGUGGCGAAGGCGACUAUCUGGGCCAACACUGACACUGAGGCACGAAAGCGUGGGGAGCAAACAGGAUUAGAUACCCGUGUAGUCCCUGUCUCUUAUAC
rnacentral:rRNA from 1 species